CGGACACUUGGGGUGAGAGUGAAUCGGGGAGAAAUACGCUUUGCACCUUCCAAGUCCUGCAGCUUGAUGUGUUGUGCCCUACCAAGGGUUGCAAAGGCCACGGCGUGCAGACAGAAAGAAGGGGAACCGGAGGAGCCACUGGUUGGAUCAGUUUCUGUCAGACUGCUGCAGAUCUGGUCUGGUGGCUUUUAUGUGAACAAGAACCUCUUCUUGUUCAAGGUAGCUCUUCUUGUUCACAGGUACGAAGCACGUAGAGACGCUUCCAGUGCAGUGGUAACAGUGCAUCAGGGGCACAGGAACCGCAGGUGUUUCCCAACAGGUAUACAGUCACAGCAUUUCCCUUCACAGCCAAGUGGUGAGGAUUGAUUCAACAGGGCCGAGAUUUGGCACUUGACUGUUCACCUGCAGUAUUGGGUAAUAACGCGAUAAGACGCGCCAUGAGUCACUGCGGCCAGAGGGGGCGAUAGUGCGGAGCUUCGUCCCGCACAGAGACGUCGGUCUUGAUCCUAAACACACACUAGGCGUACAUCGCGAUACACGACGCAGCGGCAAUCCCUCGUCUGUGUUUUAGUGCCGAUUGACUUUCAAGAGUGACAGCGAGCGACACAUUACAAUUCAGUACCGUGCACGAGAGGCCACGGCAGCCCGCCGGUCACAGCACCCAGCCCGUGGCAGGCGGCGUCGGCGUUGCUGCACCAUGCGACCGUUAGCAUCCGCGUUUAAAAAAGCUCCACCUUUUGACCGUUCUGGCGGAGUUUACACUCGCAGAAAUCGCGAGAAAGUCGGUCGGACUAAUUGGAGUUCGUCUCCGCGUGGCGCCCCAUUGACGGUUUCGAGUUUCGCCGACACUACUCACCUCGUAGUGCUUCAUCUUGACUGUACGAAGCCCCUUCCUUAAUACCCCCGGUGAGCAAUAGGGGCGGCGACCAAUCACAGCGAUAAUAUACGGCCGCUGAGGCCACAACCAGAAGGGCGACCACGUCAGCACCGCAGCCAAUCAGAACAGGCGAAAACCAGACGGACACGCCCCUUAGUCUCGACGCCGUAGCCAAUGAGAUUCGAGGAAGCGGAGAGGUCACGGUUACACCAGCAUAAUAGGAUUUUUUGGUGCUUACUUCAGAUCCGACUAAGAACUGCGCAGCUGUCCCUAUUUUCUCUCUUUACAACUGUAGAAAAUAAUUUGUCUGUGUCCUGACUUUCCAGCUUCACUUGCUGGCCAAUUGUCACUAAUGUCCUUUUUUUUCUGUCUCUCAUUUACAGUAGUUCAGCUCUACAUUGUCACUUUUCCCCACCGAUUUUGCACAUUUUGUUAUUUAACCUUUAAAUAGCUAAUUUGCUUUCAGUUGUUUCCUUGUGUAUGUCAUUCUACAAUAAUAAAGUUUGUCAUAUGCCCAGAA